UGCCGCCGCCUUCUCGUCGGCAGCAAACUUUCACAAAGCGGCGUGUCCGGCCUCAUCAAUCUCCAUUAAUAAUAGUUGGUUGGGCCGCGGGGGGCGGGCGGGGUCCCGGGCCGGCCGGCCGGGCCGCUGGGAACGGGCUCUGCGGAGGGAGCGGAGCCGGGCGCGGCGGCGGCGGGCGGAGGGAGGAAGUGAAGCGUAAUUUGAGGAAGAUGGAUGAGUCCGGAGGGCGACACCCCCAGCCCGCCCGCUCGCCCGCCCCCUCCCUCCUUAUGAGAGCGAGGGAGCGCGGCGCCGGAGCCACACUGCGCCGAGCCCGCGCCCCGCCGCCACCUCGGCCCGGGAGCCUGGGAGCGAGCCCUGCGUGUCCGCGCGGGGCGCCCGAGCCGCGGGGCGCACGGCGGCGCCCGGAGGGGAGCGCCCCGGGGCGGCCGUAGCUCCGGGCACGAUGCAGAGAGCCGGAGGCGGGGGUGCCCCCGGGGGCAGCGGCGGGGGCAGCGGCGGGGGCCCGGGCACUGCCUUCUCCAUUGACUCCCUGAUCGGGCCACCGCCGCCUCGCUCCGGCCACUUGCUCUACACCGGCUAUCCCAUGUUCAUGCCCUACCGGCCGCUGGUGCUGCCGCAGGCGCUGGCCCCUGCGCCGCUGCCUGCCGGCCUCCCGCCUCUCGCCCCACUAGCCUCCUUUGCCGGCCGCCUUACCAACACGUUCUGCGCGGGACUGGGCCAGGCCGUGCCCUCGAUGGUGGCGCUGACCACCGCGCUGCCCAGCUUCGCGGAGCCGCCCGACGCCUUCUACGGGCCCCAGGAGCUCGCCGCCGCCGCCGCCGCCGCCGCCACUGCCGCCCGAAACAACCCCGAGCCGGGUGGCCGACGCCCCGAGGGUGGGCUGGAAGCCGAGGAGCUGAUGCCCGCCCGGGAGAAAGUGGCAGAGCCCCCACCGCCCCCGCCUCCGCACUUCUCAGAGACUUUCCCAAGUCUGCCGGCAGAGGGGAAGGUGUACAGCUCAGAUGAGGAGAAGCUGGAGGCACCAGCAGGAGACCCGGCAGGCAGCGAACAGGAGGAAGAGGGCUCAGGCGGUGACAGCGAGGACGACGGUUUCCUGGACAGUUCUGCAGGGGGCCCAGGGGCUCUCCUGGGACCUAAACCGAAGCUAAAGGGAAGCCUGGGGACUGGAGCUGAGGAGGGGGCACCAGUGGCAGCUGGAGUCACAGCUCCUGGGGGCAAAAGCCGACGGCGCCGCACGGCAUUUACCAGUGAGCAGCUUUUGGAAUUGGAGAAGGAGUUCCACUGCAAGAAAUACCUGAGCUUGACAGAGCGUUCCCAGAUCGCCCAUGCCCUCAAGCUCAGUGAGGUGCAGGUCAAGAUCUGGUUUCAGAAUCGGCGGGCCAAGUGGAAGCGCAUCAAAGCUGGCAACGUGAGCAGCCGUUCCGGGGAGCCCGUGAGAAACCCCAAGAUUGUUGUCCCCAUACCUGUGCAUGUCAACAGGUUUGCUGUACGGAGCCAGCACCAACAAAUGGAACAGGGCGCCCGGCCCUGAAGGGGCUCCCAAGGAUCCUGGAAGGCAGCCGAUCUGUCCCCGAGUCUGCUCUGAGACUGGGUUAGGGUUCUGCGGACCAGCGGGGCUGCUGCUACGAUGCUGCCCUGGGAGAGGGCUCCGUCGGCAACUAACUUAGCGCUAGAAGGGCUACUAUGCUGUACCAACUGUGGAGCGGGGCUGCACAGACACGCCUGCACAGACAUUGGGGAAAGAGGAUUAUUACAGAAACCAGCUGAAGUUGGGAUCAUGGUAAGCGGGGCUUCUUGGGAAGAAACCUGACCUGCACUGAUCUGGGAGGACAGCUAGGGGAGAGAACAGAGCCGCCGAGAAGAAAAAUGGGCAGAGCGAGGAGUGAGGCUAGGACACUCAGAAGAUUAAGGUCAGGGAGGGAAAUACAAGCUCAAAUACCUGGCCGGCCCCCUCACCUUCCUUAGAAAACUGCUGCUACUCCUGAUUCCUAGCAUGGCAGACCAACCAGUAUUUACUCAAACAUCUGCUAAGCGCCUCGUAUGAUGAAGACAGGCUUCCCUGGCAGUUCCUUUCUCCCAGCUGGUUUUGGCAACCAAACAGCAAGCCGGGGCUGUGACCGGUUAUUCGCAACAGGGUCGCGGUUCCCCAGCUCGGAUGCAGGGGUCCAGGCUGCUAUUUGGCUAAAAUCCAGCCAGGCUUGAAAAUUAGGUUAAAAAAAAGUAGUCCGGACCAGCCCCAUUCCCGAUCUAGAUUGAGGCUGUCUCUGCCCACGGAGGGAACCUAUGAGAUUAGAUGCUUUUUAGGGGCCAGGCCAGGCAGUGGUUGAGGAUCACAGGCGCUAUUGUCACUUUGGCGGUCGGGAAUUCGUGUCCACAGGUCUAGGGCUAGAGCAGACGUUCUCUGGUGCUGUGCCUGAGGGAAGGAGGCUGGGGGGAAACCGAAGCCCUGAUUUGCCAUUUUUUUCCGGAUUUACUAUGAAGCGUCCUAAACUAUACUGGACAGUACUCAGCCAGUUAAGCAGCUUGUUUUCCUUAGGGAAAAUAAGAAAGUUGAUUAUUGCUAGUAUGUUUCUGAGCCCAGGAGCCCCUUCUUAUACAUACCAGAGGCCCUAUUUCUGUUCUACCCUGAUCUUUGCCUAAGGCUCUUAUCAGCCUUGCAAAAGGGCUGCGGACCAAGAAAAUACAAUCUGGUUUCUUCUCUGAACAGCAUUUACUUAGCAUUUGCUUAGUUAUCUACCUGCACUUAGGUGGGUUCCCAUCAGAGUGCCAGCCCCCCCCCCCCACCCAGUGUACACUCAUUAAGUGUUGGAGAAAGACGGGGCCACCAGCAAAGCGGUUGUAGGGAUGGGAAAACGGGCUCCUUGGAGAGCAGGGACCUUAACUUUGCAAGUUCUCAUCCUUCAAGAAUAGGUAUAGAGGGGUUUCCCUCAGGUCUUUCUAGAAUGAGGGAUAGAGGGAGAAACAGGAGCUCAGGAUUCUGCCCCCAGCUUGGCAGGAUGUUGGUGGGAAUCCAGGUGGUGGUUCUGCCAUCAGUGACCUACCUCCUCGCCUCUCCUCAAAAGCAAAGCCGAGGCCUGAGUCCCGGCGGCAGUGCUGCCCUAGUAAAGUCCAGCCACUUGCCCUUGUGGCUUCCUCAGAACUCUUCUCCUGCACCUUGAGCGUCUCCCCGUAGGUCUGGCUAUGUGAGCUACUUCCCAGACUCUUAGGAAAGAGGACGACGCUUCUGUCCUCCUUCUGGGUGCACUUUGGCCAGCACCAGGUGUGGCAUGAGGUUACUGGAGACCAGCCGGAAAAACUUUCCGAGGGUAGGGGUGGGGCAUGUGAGGAGGGGAAGCAGCAGAAAGCUUCCAGUAGGAAGCACAAAGCUCCGUACCUCCUUUCGGGGUUCGAAGCCAGUGCUACCCACAAACUCAACUACGCUGCUGGCAGGAAAGGGCCAAAGGAAACGCAUGUCGUGGCCUGAGCAGAGACCUCAGGGCCUCAGGCCAACCGAGAGAGGAGUUACUCCCAGAGUACAGACCGAAGAUAGCACCAAGAAGUAGGGCUGAAGGACCUUUCUGGAAGGGCAGAGACAUAAAAGGGGAAAACAAGGCCACACACAGUCUGGUUUACUGGCUCAUCACACACACCAGAUAUGUACACAAACAUAAAUACUCCAAUGUACAAAUUUACACGGACUCACAGAUCACCCCCUCGUCUCUUUCAUCCAGCACCCCCCAACCUGUGCCCUAUCCGUCCAGGCUCCGUUUUAGGAUGAAGGCUUGCAGGGGGCUGGCAGGAGAAGGUAGGAAUCUGGAGGAGGGAGAGGUCCUGCUCCCCUCUCCUCACAGGUACCUCCAAAGGGUCCUGUCCCUUUUCAGUGGCACCGUGGGGUAGAGGGCUAAAAUACCUCCACUCCCCCUCUGCUGCAGCUCAAAUCCCAGAUGUCUCCUCUGGUCCCUCUGUCUUUCUCAUUUGGCUCUUCUUCUGUUUGACUCUUCCUCAUUUCCUCUCCUUCUUCCUUUCUCUGUCUUGGCUCCCCCCAGUGCGUGUAGGGAGGAGGGGCCCCAGGCCACGGAGUCCUUCUGGCCCCUGUGCCCUCUUCCUGGGCCUUAUAGAAGGCUAGGACUUCGGUGCAGCUCAGCAGAGGUGUUGGCGCCAUUGGCAGGCUCUCUGUUGGGGGUAGGUGCUAAGCCACAGCCCUCCCCAGGGCAGCCAUGCUGGAUCAAGAUGUCCGCGCACUCCUGGCUACCGGCCCGACGGGCGUAGGCCAGCGGAGUCAGGCCCCGGGCGUCCCGGCUCCUCACGUCCACCCCAUACUGCAGAAGGAAGCACAUUUUCACAGUUGGCACGACAUGGCAAGGAAGGUGUGGGUUCUUGGGGGCAGAACGGAGAUCAGGUAGGUCAGAGGAGCCUUCGAGGGUGGCCCUGGCAAGGCAAGGAGGGAGCCCACAACUCACCCAGAUGAGCAGCUGUGUGAAGACGACGUUGGCCAUGGCGCUGGAGAGAUGGAGAGCCGUCCGCCCAUCCCCGUCGCCGUAGGUCUCGUUCACCUCCUCCUUGGACCCGUGGGCCAGAAGCAUCACCAGCAGCCGCAGGUCGUCCUCCACCACAGCCCGGAGCAGCUGCUGUCCCAGCGGCACGUCCGAGCUCGGCAGCGGGGCCAGGAAGAGCUUCUGUUCGUACUUGGCCCGUAUCCAGCGCUCCUUCUCCUCUCUGCAACCACAGGUCCAUCGAGGCAUGAGCCAACGGGCGGGGGCUGGGGAGGGUGGUCAGGAAAUGGCAGGAGCACCCCGAAAGGGGAAUCGGCAGAGACAAGGCAUAGGACGGGGCAGUGGAGAGACAAACCUAAGGAACGGACGGCACAGAGUGGGUAACGCAAAGGGUGUGGAAGAGGCUGAAAGGGAGGAACACUGAAGAGAGGCCCCUCGGGGGCAGCAGGGAUGUAGGGGGCUGAGAGGGCAGGAAGAUUCCAGGCAGGGCUCCCGUGGUAGCUUAUCUGGACCUGCUGGAACAAAGGGGGUGGGGGGCCUACACUAGGGGCCCGUGCGCUAUCCUAUCUCCCACCCAUUCUCCCCAUCUCAGAGCUCAGGCUAGGGCCUUCACGCCACAGAGCGAUAGGGCCCUGCGCAUGCGCCUCCUGCUGGCCCCUGACCUGCUGAUAAGGCUCAGAAAGGGCCUCUUGUUGUGAGGAGCCUGAGUGACAGGCGGGGAGGGGGAGGGGCACCCCAAGGGGCCAACUGCCGAGCAGAGCAACAGCCAGUUUUAACCCUUGGAGCACGGCUGCAGCUACUCAGCACCAUCCCGAUCUUCCCCAUACCUGGGCACCACCGUCCCUUCCCUUUCUGGCCAGCCGCAGGGCCCCCCCUUCAUCCACUCACCGGCAGGCGUCGGGCCCAGGCUUCGCAUAGCCAUCCAGGGCCCCCUCCCAGACACUGUUGGCCAGGGCAUUGCCCAUGGCGGUCAUGACAGCCAGCAGCUCGGGUGGCCAGUCAUCGAGGUCAAGGGAGCGGACGCGGGAGAGGUGAGCCCCCAGGUGUCGAUGGGUCCCUGAGCACUCAAUGCACAUCAGGGCACCCAGGUUCAAGCUGGCCCAGUCUGGAUCUAGGCGAGGAGAGGAAGCAGCAUGAAGUCCACGGGCAACCAGCGUGAGACCACCAGGGAGGUCCCCUCUGGUGGCCCACCGGAAGGCUCUCGUCAGGCUUUCCCAAAGCCACCCCGACCCCAGCCCCGCCGGCCUCCACACUCACUGGGGGCGUCGCAGUCAAUACAGAAGCUGUUGCCGCGAACGGUGCGAACGGCCUGCACGGCCAGGGCCGCGUUGUGGUUCCCCACGCGAGUCUGCACAGCGGGAGAGACCGGGGGCGGGGCAGGGGGGCGGUCAGUCACCAGGCCACCUUGGGUCCCACCCCAACCGGGCCUCCGUGCCAACCUUGUCCUUGGCGCUGCGGCAGCCCUGCAGGCUGGCAAGGAUCUGGGCCUGCACGCUCUGCACCCACAGCUCCCGCUCCUCUGCUGUCGAGGCCUCGAAGUGCCACGUCUGCCCGGUGAGGGACACCAGCACAAACUCGAAGGACUCCUCCGCCUCUGUGGGGACAGGGAUAUUUGCCACCAUCAGGGAGGGCGCCCCGCUGCCACACCUCCAUCCGCUCUCCUGCCUGCCUGGCUCUCGUCCUCUUCCCCCCACCCCAGCCUCCAAGGCCAAGCCCACGAGUGCGGAGCAGCCCUCAAACCCCUCUUCCCGACCACCUGUGGCGCCUCGGUAAAGACAGGGUGCAAGGUCUUCGCGUCCCUGGCUGGCACUGCCAGGAAUGGGCCUGGAAUUCGGAGCAGGGUGCCUCCCGGAGCAGAGCGGGGUGUUUGGAGAAGGAUGCGACGGGUGCUAGGAGGCGACGCUGGGAGAGGGUGGGGGAAGGCGGGUGCGGGCACCAUCCGUACAUGUCAGCUGCAGCCGCCUCAUUUUGCAGCUCAUUAAACCCAAUAUUCCUGACGGCGUCAGCGUGGGGCUCCUGGGAGCCGGGCCCCUCCCCCGCUACCCUGGCAGAGAGAGGCAGGAAGGACAAGUGGAUGGGGAGAGGAGGCGAGGUUGUCCCCACAAACUGGGAUGUGUGAGCGGAAAGGGACCUGAGGACAGCCGUGGUGCCCUGCGCUGUAGGCCGGACCGCGACCCCAAGCGACGUGGUGAAGCUGUUCCAAGCUCUGCUCCUCUCGGCCAACAGAAGACAGCGACACGAAUCUCAUUCCCAGCGGUCACCACCCUACGGGUGAACGAUUCCUAACAAGCACCGAGACUGAAUGUGUCCUGGGGGCUGGAGAGACAACUCAGAUACCUGUGGGGAGGCCCAAGGCCGGAGUUCAGGUUCUGCCCCGGGGGCAGCCUCUCGACUCACUGACACACAUUCCCUGGACGUCUUCCUGCUGGGCUCCUGCUCUAAGGGCACCUCUAACAGAAACUGCCUCCUAGAAAAAGAACGCUGGUACCCUUCCUUCCCCAGGCUCCACCAUUCCACCUCACCUUGCUCUCAGUACAGCCUCUGAACUGCACAAACUCGGCCCUUUGUGGGGCUCAGUUCCCAGGUACCUGGGUCCCCUGCCACGCGUGCUAAGCAUCACUACACCAUGGUAGGCUGGGAAGGGCGGCUCUUUCCCCUAGAGGUGAUCUCCACCCACACCCCUAUCCCUGACAGUCGGAGCAGAAAUGAGCCACUACGCAUCGAGAAGUUCAACUUAUCUGGGAGCAAAGAGACUUCAACCACUGAGAAGAGGAACACUUUGAAGAUACUUUGGGAGAAAAUCAGAGAAGUGCCAUGAUCAACGCCAAAUUAUGAGAAAGGCCCCGUGGAAAACACUCGAGGAGCUGGAAUUCCUUAGCUUAAAGACGACUAAGGAGAGACCUCGCCAGCUAAGACACACGUAUCAAGCACCAGUUAUGUGCCCAGCACUCAGGAAACUCAGUGGCUGAUACAAGAGACACAGAAAGCAUAGGUCCUGCCCACGAGUCUUGGAAGGGCUAUUGGAGUAGCCGCCUGCCGUCUUUUACCUUCUACAGGGAAUAAAAGAGAAGCUCACGUUUUAGUAGAAAGGGUUUAAAUUAGGCAGAAGAAAGCGCUUUUCUAAGAUUCUGGGUCUAGAUUACCAAAAGAAGUUGUGGAACUAUG